GUAUGUGGCUCAGUGGUAGAGUGCUUGCCUAGCACGUAUGAGGCACUGGGUUCAGCACUCAGCACCACAUAAUAAACAAAUAAAUAAAAUAAAAGUAUUGUGUCUAUCUUGGGCUGGGGAUGUGUCUCAAGCGGUAGCGCGCUAGCCUGGCAUGUGUGCGGCCCGGGUUCGAUCCUCAGCACCACAUACA
rnacentral:tRNA from 1 species